GUGGUCACCAGACUCUGCACGAGGAGGGCUCACGGUGCAGGUGCCACUGCACAAAAGAAGCUCCAUUUCCUUUUGUUAACGCUGUUGUUUUUUUUCAGCAGAGGGAGAGAGAGAGACUUCCCCUGAACUGGCGACAGGCCUCUAAUGCAGCUGCACUUCUGCUGGCUCCUGAUGCCUUCUGACGGUGUCCCUGUGAUCUCAUACUCCAGAGGUGGCCUUAGCUGUAGCAGAGCGAAUAUCACAACUCCCAGAAUUCACGACUUGGGUGGAGUCAGGAAAAGGUUGCGUGCCUGUCCCUGAUACGGCUGUGUCUCCUGCCAGAACAUCCUGAUGAUAACCUCUGGAGAUCCCACCCCACAGCUCACAGCCUCACUCGCACUGUGACGGCCGCGACGACGAGGAGCAGCGGGAGGAAUCAGGGACCAAAACCAACUCGGGAUACAGCAUCCAAAAGCUCAAGGAUCUGAAGGUAGGGAAACUGCUUGGUGCGUUUGACAGUAAUCAAAAUACAAACACGGUCCUGAGGGGCAAGAGGACAUUUUGGUGUGAGAAGGAAGCAGACCAGUGCAGCAUGAAACAAAAA
rnacentral:lncRNA from 1 species